rfam:Homo sapiens chromosome 15, GRCh38 reference primary assembly.
GCUGGGUGUGGUGGCUCACACCUGUAAUCCCAGCACUUUGGGAGGCCGAGGCAGGUGGAUCACUUGAGGUCAGGAGUUCGAGACCAGCCUGGCCAACAUGGUGAAACCCUGUCUCUA